UGGGAUGUAGCUCAAACGGUAGAUAGAGCGCUCGCUUUGCAUGCGAGAGGUACGCGGUUUGAUACCCCGCAUCUCCA
rnacentral:tRNA from 1 species